rnacentral:rRNA from 1 species
UACGUAGGUGGCGAGCGUUGUCCGGAUUUAUUGGGCGUAAAGGGAACGCAGGCGGUCUUUUAAGUCUGAUGUGAAAUCCUUCGGCUUAACCGAAGUAGUGCAUUGGAAACUGGAAGACUUGAGUGCAGAAGAGGAGAGUGGAACUCCAUGUGUAGCGGUGAAAUGCGUAGAUAUAUGGAAGAACACCAGUGGCGAAAGCGGCUCUCUGGUCUGUAACUGACGCUGAGGUUCGAAAGCGUGGGUAGCAAACAGG